GAAAGUGAAGAAGAUCAGCCUACAUAAGAAGAUAAAGAUGAAGAAGGGCAAGGGGAGACCACAAUAAAUGAAAAAUCCAGUUCAUCGAUAAAAGAUACAAGUGAAAAAAAAUGAGAAAUCCAUGGAUAGUAAAAAGGGUGGUGUCUAGCAAGGGGUAGACUGGUAUAUCAGUGGGAGACUUUAUUUUUUCCAUUCUUGCUUGGGCUUACGAGGCAAUCUCAACAUUGAGUACACGCCACACUUUGGAAGAACAUAGAAUGACCACAAAUGGUGAAGGCCUUCCAGCUAGAUGUUUAACCUGUGGUGGAUGUAGUCCAUCGUUGCCACCUUGGUACAUGUUCCUAAUUUGGUCUACACUACCAAUAGAACGUGUUCCUUUCUUGUACAAGUUUAUCAAAUUUGAAACAUAAUAGAACUUAUCAGUGUACAUAUGUAGAUUAAGAUUCCUUGUAGAAAGUGCAAUAUAUUCAUGCAUGUGAACAAGGGAUCAAAUCGAGGUCUCAUUGACGACAUGAGCAUGUGUGAUCUAAAAUAUUAACAACAUAUUGUUCCUUAUGAUGGUGGAUUUUAAAUUCAUGUUGGUCUAUAGGAUAUAUCUGCCAAAUUGUUAAAAAAAUGUCAUUUAGUUAAAAGUGCGUACAUAGGCAUUGCAUUUAUUAUUCAAAUAUCAAACAACUUACGUUCAUUGAGUGACUUUUCCUUAAAGCUUCUCGAAUCAUAUCUUUUGCAUAUGUCGAAAGUUUCGUGCGUUGAAAAUUCCAUUUGGUAUGAUGUUCGUAUAACCAUUUUUGAACCAAACUAUGAAUUUAUUCUAGAAUUUCAAUUACAGGUAAUUCUUGGGAUUUUUCAACGUAGAAUUCAUACUUUCAUAAAUAUUGGUAGUAAUAACCAAAUAUCUUUUUCUCCUAAAAGAUGCCCUAGCCAACUUAUGUCUUCCAACAGCUUCCAACUCAUGCACAUGUGUAGUCGUUUAAUCGUGUAUUGACUAGGUCAUUACCCAUUGUGAGUCUAUG